CCCUUCUCUGAAGAGGCCUCUGGAUCUUGGUAAAGAGGAAGCUGGCUUAUACAAACUGUCUUGGGUGCCUCCUUCCUCUUCUCCCUCUCCUGGUUCUUCUUUUACUUCUGUGUGUGCUUUGUCUGAUUUUUGUAAUGAUAACAAUGUGUCUGACAGCAAAAAUGUUGGCUUGUCUCCAAUUGUAAAUAAUUCCAUUUGUAAUAAUGCUGUUACAUCUGAUAUGAAUUACAUUUGGCAUUUAAGACUAGCACAUACUCCUUUUGCUAAUAUGAAACAUAUUUCUGGUUGUCUUUUGCACUUGCUUCUAAACAACCUUUUCCUUGCUCUGUCUGCCCUAUGGCAAAACAGACUAGACUUCCUUUCCAUGACAGUAGUAUCAGUACUACUAGACCAUUUCAAUUAAUACAUAUGGAUACUUGGGGGCCUUACCACACUUCUACUUCUUCUGGUUAUAAGUACUUCCUUACUAUAGUUGAUGAUUUUUCUAGGGCAACCUGGACACACUUUUAUAAGUACUUCCUUACUAGAGUUGAUGAUUUUUCUAGGGCUACCUGGACACAAUGGGAUCCAAAAGCAAUGCUUUUUCCCUGCUUAAGUCUUUCAUCUCCUUUGUUAAAACUCAGUUUCACACUGUGGUCCAGACUGUUAGAAGUGACAACGCGUUAGAAUUGGGAUCCAGUAUUGAGGGAAUAUCCUUUUUUAGUAGCCAGGGGAUUAUUCAUCAAACCUCCUGCCCUCAUUCCCCUCAGCAGAAUGGGGUUGUUGAAAGAAAACACAGAACACUUCUUGAGACAUGUAGAGCCCUACUUUUUCAGUCUGGCCUACCUGUGUCCUUCUGGGGGGAUUGUCUGCUAACUGCCACCUAUCUUCUUAACAGAAUACCUUCCAGAAUCCUUCACCAUAAGUCUCCCCAAGAAAUUUUGUAUGGCAAAGCUCCAUCAUAUUCCCAUUUGAGGGCAUUUGGAUACCUAGCUUAUGCAGCUGUCCCUAUUCCUCAAAGGGACAAGCUCAAACCUAGAGCCCAUUUUUGUGUUUUUCUGAGUUACCCCUUUGCCAAGAAGGGUUAUAAACUGUAUAAUUUGGUCACCAGAAAAUGUUUUGUCUCAAGGGAUGUUAUCUUCCAUGAAACAUAUUUUCCUUUUAAGACUACACCUAUUUAUGCUCAACCUUCUUCUUCACCUUUUCCUUUUAUUCCUCUUCCUGAUGAUUUAACUGACAGUGUUUUUCCCAUACAUGAUACCCCUAAUUCUACUGUCCUUCCUUCUACUUCUGCUCCUCCUGCACCUAAUUUUUCUGCUACUAGUCCAUCUUCUCUUCCUUCUUUCAAUCCUGAUCUCCCUGCUUCUGUGUUACCUCCUUCACAUCCUCUUCCCCCACCUAGAAAGUCCACUAGAUCUGUGUUACCUCCUUCACAUCCUCUUUCCCCACCUAGAAAGUCCACUAGACAGCAUAAUCCUCCUUUCUAUCUUAAGGAUUAUGUCUGUCAACUGCCUGCCUUUUCUGGUUCUUCUUCUUCCAUUUUGGAAUCUGAACCUAUGUAUUACUCUCAAGCUGCAUCUGUCCCAGCAUGGCAGGAUGCUAUGAGACAGGAGUUUGAUGCUUUGGAGGCUAACCAUACUUGGGAUAUUGUUUCUCUUCCUCUUGGUAAGAAAUCCAUUGGCUGUAAGUGGGUCUAUAAAAUCAAAUACAAGUCUGAUGGUCUAGUUGAAAGAUAUAAAGCAAGGCUUGUUAUUAAGGGUGAUACACAAGUUGAGGGUAUUGAUUUUACUGACACUUUUUCUCCUGUGAUUAAGAUGACUUCUGUGAAAUGCCUUAUUUCUGUGGUUGUCAAGAAUCAUUGGCCUCUUUUUCAGCUUGAUGUCAAUAAUGCCUUUCUUCAUGGUGAUUUAGAUGAGGAAGUUUACAUGAAACUUCCCCCCCAGGUUUGACAGUUUCUGCUCCUCUUCCUGGUUCUGUUUCUACUCC
rnacentral:lncRNA from 1 species